GGCGAUUCCACUUGUCAGAAACCAACUUUACAGAGAAGAUUAGCACGGCCCCUGCGCAAGGAUGACACGCAAAUUCAUGAGGCAUUUUGUAUUUAA
ensembl:snRNA U6 U6 spliceosomal RNA